CGCACUAGCCGGGGAGGCAGCGGCGCCCUGUACUUGCAAUCCGCUAUAGCAAGGGUGAUGCCCCCUCCCGGGUGGCGUUUGUAUGGCCUGUCUUUUGUAAGUGGCGAUGAGAUUUGGGUCCUGCGCAACACGUCUUUGUGAACCUCGUCAGGUCGGGAACGAAGCAGCGAUAAGCAAAGCAGCGUGUGUGCCGCGGGGUUGCCUGAGUUGAGUUAACUGCAAACGCAACGCAUGGAGGCGCCAUUCAAAAGGGGGCG
rnacentral:SRP_RNA from 1 species